rnacentral:rRNA from 1 species
CCUACGGGAGGCAGCAGUGGGGAAUUUUGGACAAUGGGCGCAAGCCUGAUCCAGCAAUGCCGCGUGAGUGAAGAAGGCCUUCGGGUUGUAAAGCUCUUUUGUCAGGGAAGAAACGGUCUACUCUAAUACAGUGGGCUAAUGACGGUACCUGAAGAAUAAGCACCGGCUAACUACGUGCCAGCAGCCGCGGUAAUACGUAGGGUGCAAGCGUUAAUCGGAAUUACUGGGCGUAAAGCGUGCGCAGGCGGUUAUAUAAGUCAGAUGUGAAAUCCCCGGGCUCAACCUGGGAACUGCAUUUGAGACUGUAUGGCUAGAGUGUGUCAGAGGGGGGUAGAAUUCCACGUGUAGCAGUGAAAUGCGUAGAUAUGUGGAGGAAUACCGAUGGCGGAGGCAGCCCCCUGGGAUAACACUGACGCUCAUGCACGAAAGCGUGGGGAGCAAACAGGAUUAGAUACCCUGGUAGUCCACGCCCUAAACGAUGUCUACUAGUUGUCGGGACUUAAUUGUCUUGGUAACGCAGCUAACGCGUGAAGUAGACCGCCUGGGGAGUACGGUCGCAAGAUUAAAACUCAAAUGAAUUGACCGGNNGAGAGAGCGAGACGACGACGAGGGAGGAGG